CAUGUCAGGGUCACCAAAUAUUCCUAUGUUACACAGAGCGAUACUAAACUUUGACAGGAUACGUAUAACGAUUGAAGACAGAUGCCAGCGCUAAAUCAACCCAAAAGUGGAUAGGGCUGCAGCCACUUUUAUCACCGUGACGACCGCUCUCGCGCCAUAUUUCACUACUUUCCGGGAGGUCACACCACCUUCUCAACCACGCCCGUUGUAGGACAUAACACUAGAUGCUGCGCCCAUGGUUAUUGGUCUGAAAAAAAGACAGUUCAAAAAGCGGAAAAGACCAAAAUAAAAUGUGGGACGGACGGAAGAAGGACAAACAGUCUGAGGUUCGUGCGGACAAGAGUGAAUUUAAAUUCGAUCACCACCCAAAAGAUGUAAUCAAAAUAACUUUUUAAUGCGUUUCCGUGUAAGAAUACACAUUUUGCUUACUAUUGGUUCAGACAUGGGCACUCAACAGUGACGAUAUUGAAAUGGUACAUGUUUUUACGUACUAAGGUUAUACAUGAGUCUAUAACGGUUGUUUUAAACUUGCAGGAGAAGCAUUUAAUGAGACAGCGCUCAAAGCAUAUUAUGACUUUAUUGUAUUAUUCAACAGAAUCAGAUGAAAUGUAAAAACUGAAUUUAAUAGCAUACAUUUGGGUGUAUUAUGCUUAGAUUCUCUCAAAUGUAAGAUAAGUUGUCUUAGUGUAUUCUAAGAAUUUUUAUCGCAUGCCAUACCCUGUUUCCCAUGUAAUGUAACCAUUACGAAUAUUGUUAUCUUACACAUGUGUAAUAAACUUUUUAAGCGUUUUUAUUGGCUUAUUUUUGUUCGAUUGACCAAUCGCAGUUUGUUAUUUUGCUGAAAUGACGUUGCAACGACAAAUGACGACACGAAAUGUAAACAACAUUCGGGAUUUAUCAUUAUGUUUGCAUAAAUGUCUAUUUAAUUUGCUCAUUUAAAAGCAUGUGAUAAAAAAGAUCUGACACUCGUUGUCAUUUCAUACCAUAUUGUAUUAAACUCGUCCAGAAAAUUAGUUAGUAAGCUCGCCAAAGGCUCUCUUACUAACAAAAUUCCUGAACUCGUUUAAUAAAAUAAGGUAUGAUAUGACAACUCGUGCCAGAUCCUAUAUAUGGUCCGAGAUGUUUUCUAUGUGGCGUUAGAACAAUCUUGGGCCGAUAGUGAAUUCACAGAUAAAUUGGUCAUGUUUUAUUAUUUUAAGAAAAAACAACAACAUACCAAUAUUUAUUUCAAUGCCGUUUGUCUUUUA